UAGGGUGCAAGCGUUGUCCGGAAUUAUUGGGCGUAAAGAGCUCGUAGGCGGCUUGUCGCGUCUGCUGUGAAAUCCCAAGGCUUAACCUUGGGCCUGCAGUGGGUACGGGCAGGCUAGAGUGCGGUAGGGGAGAUUGGAAUUCCUGGUGUAGCGGUGGAAUGCGCAGAUAUCAGGAGGAACACCGAUGGCGAAGGCAGAUCUCUGGGCCGUAACUGACGCUGAGGAGCGAAAGCAUGGGGAGCGAA
rnacentral:rRNA from 1 species